rnacentral:ncRNA from 2 species
UGUACAGAUAGAGGCGCGAAAUUCAUCAGUAGCAUGACGGAACUGCUUAAACAGUGUAGAUGUUCAUGUGAAAGGGAAUUUUGCCGAAGCUGAGAUCGGUUUAAGAGUGAUUGAGGCUGGGCUUACGGAGAAUAUCCGAAAGACUGUCACAAAUUUUUUGUGGAGCGCUAUCGUUCGG